GCGUGAGUGAUGAAGGCCUUAGGGUUGUAAAGCUCUUUCGGCGGGGACGAUAAUGACGGUACCCGCAGAAGAAGCCCCGGCUAACUUCGUGCCAGCAGCCGCGGUAAUACGAAGGGGGCUAGCGUUGCUCGGAAUCACUGGGCGUAAAGCGCACGUAGGCGGGUCGUUAAGUCGGAGGUGAAAGCCUGGAGCUCAACUCCAGAAUUGCCUUCGAUACUGGCGGCCUAGAGACCGAGAGAGGUAAGUGGAACUCCGAGUGUAGAGGUGAAAUUCGU
rnacentral:rRNA from 1 species